rfam:Schistosoma mansoni strain Puerto Rico chromosome 1, complete genome
AGUUUUCUGAAUCCAUUCAGAGAUUUCGUCAGAUACUAACCCACCAGGGAUGAUAAGAUUUACAAGAUAAGUGAAGUU